rnacentral:pre_miRNA from 10 species
AGAGAAAAUAUGCCUUUUUAACACACAAAACUGGUUUUCAUAAUGGUUUGAGAUUGUGUUAGAUUCUGAGAUCAUUGUGAAAACUGAUUUUGUAACCACACUCAACUAUAAACCUUGUC